rnacentral:rRNA from 1 species
GUGGGGAAUAUUGUCCAAUGGGGGGAACCCUGAGACAGCGAUGCCGCGUGAGUGAUGACGGCCUUCGGGUUGUAAAACUCUGUCGUAAGGGACGAAAACUAUAUGACUAAUAAUCAUAUAAUUGACGGUACCUUGCAAGAAAGCUCCGGCUAACUACGUGCCAGCAGCCGCGGUAAUACGUAGGGAGCGAGCGUUGUCCGGAGUGACUGGGCGUAAAGAGCACGUAGGCGGUCUGAUAUGUCGGAUGUGAAAACCCUGAGCUUAACUUAGGGCCUGCAUCCGAAACUGUUAGACUUGAGUACAGGAGAGGAAAGCGGAAUUCCUAGUGUAGCGGUGAAAUGCGUAGAUAUUAGGAGGAACACCAGUGGCGAAGGCGGCUUUCUGGACUGGAUCUGACGCUGAGGUGCGAGAGCUAGGGGAGCGAACAGGAUUAGAAACCCUAGUAGUCC